UGUCUGGGAAACUGCCUGAUGGAGGGGGAUAACUGCUGGAAACGGUAGCUAAUACCGCAUAACGUCGCAAGACCAAAGAGGGGGACCUCCGGGCCUCAUGCCAUCAGAUGUGCCCAGAUGGGAUUAGCUAGUAGGUGGGGUAAUGGCUCACCUAGGCGACGAUCCCUAGCUAGUCUGAGAGGAUGACCAGCCACACUGGAACUGAGACACGGUCCAG
rnacentral:rRNA from 1 species